CACAGGGGGCGCUAUGCACACCCAGAGUUAGUGAGUAAAAGCACAGAAGAAGAAAUUGUAUUUUGCAGCGGGUGCAGUAGCGCAGUGCUGCCGCCAGGGGUCGCUUUUCUGCGGCGUCACUCACUGCAGUUUAUCCACCGACAUGCUGGGAUUUAUCAGGGAAAUAAAGGGCCUUUUUAACCUCUUAAACCACCAAGAAUACCGCGUGACCACUCGCUGGAUGUUUGGGGUUCUUCCAGCGCGUGCGGAGGAGUAAAAGUGGUCCAAAGUGCCCAGAAGAAAGUGAGUUAUUGUCGGCGAGUAACGGUACUUUGUGGCCGGAGGAAGCGUCUCCUUUUCGGAUCUUUUCCUGGGAUCAUCCGGAGGAUGACGAGCGAAGAUUGAAGAUCUGCAGCUGAUCCAGGACCUGCAAAAUAGAGAUGACGGAGG